rnacentral:misc_RNA from 1 species
AUCAAGAACAGGAUCUCAAGACACUUCUGUUGAAUACUGCACAAUCUUCUACAACAAGGAGAAGGUAGAGCUGCUAGAAGGUGGAACAUUUUGGUUAUCAGAUUCACCCUCUGUCCCAGGAAGCAUGUCAUGGGGUGCUGCAGUUCCGUGUAUUGCAACAUGGGCUACAUUCCAACUGAAAGGAGUUGAACCGCCGGGCUUUUCAUUUCAAAUAGUGAAUACAAACAUGGAUGAAUUCAGUCCUCAGGCCCGCAGAAGAAGUGCUUUACUGACUUGGCAACACAUUGCAUCCUUACCUCCAAGCUUGCCAGUUGUGUACUGUGGAGGAUUUAACACACUAAAGGAAUCACCUACAGGACGUUUUCUUCUUGGGAGAUCAAGGGAGCAUGGUGUUGUGGGAGAUAUGAGGGAUGUAUGGC